GGCACCAUGGCUCAGUGGUAGAGUAUCUAGCUCGUCUAAAGUCGCUCAGCGCUUAAGACCACCACUAGAAGAUCGCUGGUUCGAUUCCAGCUGGUGCCA